ACAAACUUGGUCAUUUAGAGGAAGUAAAAGUCGUAACAAGGUCUCCGUUGGUGAACCAGCGGAGGGAUCAUUAUAGAGUUUUCUAACUCCCAAACCCAUGUGAACUUACCAGUUUGUUGCCUCGGCAGGCCUCCGCCUCUCGCCUUCGGGCGGUGCGGAUACCACAGGUCUGCCGGUGGUCCCACUAAACUCUUGAAUUACAUUGUAAAUCUGAGCGUUUAAAACAAAUAAAUCAAAACUUUCAACAACGGAUCUCUUGGUUCUGGCAUCGAUGAAGAACGCAGC
rnacentral:misc_RNA from 1 species